GCUACGAAAGGGCACUCUAAUGGGACUGCCGGUGACAAACCGGGAGGAAGGUGGGGAUGACGUCAAGUCCUCAUGGCCCUUAUAGGUGGGGCUACACACGUCAUACAAUGGCUGGUACAGAGGGUUGCCAACCCGCGAGGGGGAGGCCAAUCCCAUGAAGCCAGUCGUAGUCCGGAUCGCAGUCUGCAACUCGACUGCGUGAAGUCGGAAUCGCUAGUAAUCGCGGAUCAGAAUGUCGCGGUGAAUACGUUCCCGGGUCUU
rnacentral:rRNA from 1 species